GGAGAAGAGGAAAACCAGAGAAAAAACCCAAAUUGAAACCUGUGAAAAAGGAAAAAGAGUCGGAGCACUUACCCAGUGGAGGUCCGGAGCCAAGUGGCUGAACGAAGGAGAGUUACGUCGCAGGCUAACUGCUUGCCUGUCCUCCAGAGAGCUGCUACGAGGUUCGGCAUCGGCAUGCUCCACCUUGAUACACAGAGCAACGGUCAGGUUUUUUAGAGGACUGAAGAGUCUGAGGUUCAGGACAACUUCCUGCUGUAAAAGAUGGCGAGCCAACUACCCUGAUUGAAGAUUAGCACCGAGGAGAUAUUCACGUACACACUCAUUCACACAAAUAAUACACUCACAUUACACUACAAGGAACCUUGGAAUCAGGUGAACUUGCAACAACUCCUUUUAUUUUAAGGGCCCCAACAGACAUUUUUGUUUUAAGUGUGCACACUACUUUUUUUAUUUUUCUUACUGUUUGGUAUAAUAUUUUGCAUUUUGUACGAACCAGACAAAUUACUUUGUUCACUGUAAAAUAUAAGAGUGGCUACUCAAUUGUU
ensembl:lncRNA